UGUAAUAUACUAUUAAAUCGAUUCAAAUUAAUUGAUAACUUUAAAUUUAACAUUUUCGAUAGAUUCGACUCCCUUCGUUUAUCUCCACUUCCCAAACGCUAUUUGAAUUGCUUCUUCCGUCGCCGUUGCCAAAAGUCCAAAAGCAUAUUUCUCUCCGCAAAUUAGGCGAGAAGUUAAUCUCAUUCUUCAGGUCUGUCACUUGUCGCCUAUGGCAUUGUCAGUCAUAGCCCUGAUUUGGCUAUAAUUGCGGAGGACAGGUGAAUGUUAUGCAUCAGAGCACGUGCUUCUGCAGGCUACAGCGAGGAGCGGGUGUAAUUGAGAAUGGAAGAAGAUCCUUUGCCAGGAAACACUGGUUGGGUCGGAUUGCAGCAUAAAAACUAGUUAUCAACCCGGAGCCUCUGGAGGAAGGCUGGCAGAUAUUGGCGUGCGUGUCAGGCCGGACGACUAAUCCCGCUAGAGUGUGUGGUAUCAAAGCAAACUGGGGAACUGAGGGAAAUGUAAGGUGUUGUCUGCAACCAAGAACCAUUAGUUCAGAUGCCUAAUUUUGUUAUGUUGUGACUUCCUCAACAGAUUGGGUCUCAGUUGUAUUGUCACCUCGACGAUUUUUAUUUCAGCAUGUCUUUGUAAUUAUGUACUAAUAUAUGCUAAAGAGGAAAAUUAUCAUAUUAUACA